AUUCAUUUUGACGUUUAGCUGCAGAAGAAGCACCGGCUAACUCCGUGCCAGCAGCCGCGGUAAUACGGAGGGUGCGAGCGUUAAUCGGAAUUACUGGGCGUAAAGCGCAUGCAGGUGGUUUGUUAAGUCAGAUGUGAAAGCCCGGGGCUCAACCUCGGAAUUGCAUUUGAAACUGGCAAACUAGAGUACUGUAGAGGGGGUAGAAUUUCAGGUGUAGCGGUGAAAUGCGUAGAGAUCUGAAGGAAUACCGGUGGCGAAGGCGGCCCCCUGGACAGAUACUGACACUCAGAUGCGAAAGCGUGGGGAGCAAACAGGAUUAGAUACCCUGGUAG
rnacentral:rRNA from 1 species